AGCUCCAAUAGCGUAUAUUAAAGUUGUUGCAGUUAAAAAUCUCAUAGUUGAACUUGUGGCCUAGAUGGCUCGGCCUGACGCUUAUGCGUGAGUACCUGAGCCAUCCGACCAUCCUUGGGUGGAACCUGUGUGGCAUUAAGUUGUCAUGUAGGGGAUGCCCGUCUUUUACUGUGAAAAAAUUAGAGUGUUCAAAGCAGGCUUAUGCCUUAGAAUAUAUUAGCAUGGAAUAUUGAUAUAGGACUUGGGUACUAUUUUGUUGGUUUGUGCACUAAAGUAAUGAUUAAUAGGGACAGUUGGGGAUAUUAAUAUUUUUAGGUCAGAGGUGAAAUUCUUGGAUUUUUUAAAGACUAACUACUGCAAAAGCAUUUAUCAAGGAUGUUUUCA
rnacentral:rRNA from 1 species